rnacentral:rRNA from 1 species
CUCACCAGAUAAGACAGCUGAAUGAUAGUCGGGCUGAAGACUCUACUUGACUAGCUGAGAGGAGGUGCAUGGCCGUCGUCAGUUCGUACUGUGAAGCAUCCUGUUUAAGUCAGGCAACGAGCGAGACCCACGCCAACAGUUGCCAGCUCGUCCUCCGGGAUGGUGGGGACACUGUUGGGACCGCCUCUGCUAAAGAGGAGGAAGGAAUGGGCAACGGUAGGUCAGCAUGCCCCGAAUUAUCUGGGCUACACGCGGGCUACAAUGGGUGGGACAAUGGGUAUCGACACCGAAAGGUGAAGGCAAUCUCCUAAACCCAUCCGUAGUUCGGAUUGUGGGCUGCAACUCGCCCACAUGAAGCUGGAAUCUGUAGUAAUCGUGUCUCAAAAUGGCACGGUGAAUAUGUCCCUGCUCCUU